rfam:Pontibacillus marinus BH030004 = DSM 16465 strain BH030004 contig66, whole genome shotgun sequence.
GCAGGCCUAGCUCAAUUGGUAGAGCAACUGACUUGUAAUCAGUAGGUUGGGGGUUCAAGUCCUCUGGCCUGCA